UACAUACAUAAUAAAUUUCUCCUUUUUAAAUUUUCAGUCUGUUACACUCUCUCUCUCUCUCUCUCUCUCUCUCUUGAAAUUUGAAAUAGUCUCUUCCUCACUUUCUUGCCGCCGGAGCUCUAUCGUUACUGCCACAACUGAUGCAUCAUCCCACUGCCUCUCUCAUCUCCUUUAGCACCACCGCGCGAGCCGUCGCCCCUUUCUUCACCUCUGUUCUCCUUUCUCUGGUGCCAACCUUUACUUUAUUAACAUAGAGUAGAAUAGACCUAUCGUGCGUCCGAAUUCGGCGUCCGCUGGUGCUGUAGAAUCAGCUUCUGCUGGUACCCGGAAUUGGGGCGUCAUAUUCAAGAACAUUUAUUUCUAAGAUGGAUUCUUCUGUGGAGGAGACUGUGCCAGAAACUGAGAGUGUUGCGUUUAUGAAGCUCGCACUAGAACAGGCAAAACUUGCACUGGAUAGCCUUGAAGUACCAGUGGGGUGUGUAAUUAUCAAAGGUCAGAAGGUCAUUUCCUCAGGGAGAAAUCGAACAACUGAGACUAGAAAUGCAACUCGACAUGCAGAGAUGGAAGCAAUUGAUGUGCUGCUUGAGCAGUGGCAGAAGGAUGGACUUACAAGGGAAGAAGUUGCAUUAAAAUUCUCAAAAUGCACUCUUUAUGUUACAUGUGAACCUUGUAUAAUGUGUGCAGCAGCGUUAUCAAUUAUCGGAAUAAAAGAAGUAUAUUAUGGCUGCGCUAAUGAUAAAUUUGGAGGUUGUGGAUCGAUAUUGUCGUUGCAUACAAACAGCUCACGGAAGGUUACAUGUAGCGGAAUUUCAAAGAGGAAGGAAUUCAAGUGCACUGGAGGAAUUAUGGCAUCAGAAGCUAUCGCUCUUCUAAGAAGCUUCUACGAGCAAGGAAAUCCCAAUGCACUUAUGAGUUAUGGUCAAGCUUCUCUGUUGCAUAAAGCUUAUUGAAGAUGUGGGCUCUUUUACACGUUCUGUCAUUCAUUCAGUCCCCAAAGCCUCAUCGAACACUGGUGCCACGGGUCUAAAUUCAUUUCCUUCUCAAGUUUGGUUUACUACCAUCAGAAUAGAUCUGAACAUUGCUUCAAAUGUGAAGGAUCAAUGACUGAGGCAACUAUUAUGUCCUUAUGAUGGCCAGCAACAUGGUUUCAAAUGUGAAGGAUCCAACACUGAGGCAACUUUGAUGUCCUUAUGAUGGCCAGCUAAUCUUAACUAUUUACUUUGAGGAACUGAACUUCAAUCUGGAAUUGGAUGGUAGACUGUACUAGUAAUGCGACGAUUGGAUUGAUAUCUUGUACUUCGACAUACUGAAAGAAGUUGCUUGUUUGAAUAUUCA